CCUGCCCCUAGAGGCAUUGCAGAUGUGGCUGCUGUGCCACAUGUGGCUGAGAGAAGAGAGAUUAUGUCUAUACUCAGUGUUCUUGCCUAACGAGCAUCUAAAUGAUUAGUACCCUAACUUU
ensembl:snoRNA Gm24176 predicted gene, 24176